GCUAGAUUGACAGAGUUUAAUGUAUUAAUUUUAGAAUUUAAUUAUGUAAUAAAUAGUUACAUCUAGUA
rnacentral:tRNA from 1 species